rnacentral:rRNA from 1 species
AGUGAACGCUGGCGGUAGGCCUAACACAUGCCAGUCGAACGGCAGCACAGGAGAGCUUGCUCUCUAGGUGGCGAGUGGCGGACGGGUGAGGAAUACAUCGGAAUCUGCCCAGUCGUGGGGGAUAGCGUAGGGAAACUUACGCUAAUACCGCAUACGACCUUCGGGUGAAAGAGGGGGAUCGCAAGACCUCUCGCGAUUGGAUGAGCCGAUGUCGGAUUAGCUAGUUAGCGGGGUAAUGGCCCACCAAGGCGACGAUCCGUAGCUGGUCUGAGAGGAUGAUCAGCCACACUGGAACUGAGACACGGUCCAGACUCCUACGGGAGGCAGCAGUGGGGAAUAUUGGACAAUGGGCGCAAGCCUGAUCCAGCCAUACCGCGUGGGUGAAGAAGGCCUUCGGGUUGUAAAGCCCUUUUGUUGGGAAAGAAAUCUUUCAGGCUAAUACCCUGGGAGGAUGACGGUACCCAAAGAAUAAGCACCGGCUAACUUCGUG